rnacentral:rRNA from 1 species
GACGAACGCUGGCGGCGUGCUUAACACAUGCAAGUCGAACGGAAAGGCCCUGCUUUUGUGGGGUGCUCGAGUGGCGAACGGGUGAGUAACACGUGAGUAACCUGCCCUUGACUUUGGGAUAACUUCAGGAAACUGGGGCUAAUACCGGAUAGGAGCUCCUGCUGCAUGGUGGGGGUUGGAAAGUUUCGGCGGUUGGGGAUGGACUCGCGGCUUAUCAGCUUGUUGGUGGGGUAGUGGCUUACCAAGGCUUUGACGGGUAGCCGGCCUGAGAGGGUGACCGGGCAGAUUGGGGCAGAGGUACGGGCGGGGCGGCAGCGGGAGGCAGCAGUGGGGAGUAGUGCACAAUGGGCGGAGGCUGGAAGACGCUGCGCGGGGGGGGGGAUGACGGCGUGCGGGUAGGAAAACGCGCACGCCUGGGAAGAAGCGUGAGUGACGGUGAUGGGGAAAGAAGCAACGGCUCACUACGU